rnacentral:lncRNA from 1 species
UUUUGUAUGUAAGGUGCAUGGAUGAUAUAUUGAUAUGUUGGAGGAGUGGCCAAGGAGUGGAGGAGCUUUCUGGGGAGUUCGCAUUGGAGCGUUGUGGCCUUGAAUUGAAGAGGGACCAACUUAGUAAUGAAUCCAUGCAUUUUCUGGAUCUGCAGGUGUGUGUGGGGGAGGGGAGGAUUGUGCUGAGUGUCUGUCGAAGGCCAACAUGUGGAGUGGUCCUAAUACCAGAUUGGUCCGGUGACCCGAAAGGAUAUAGGGGGGCAGCAUUUGGGAGUUUUUGCGGGAGAGCAUUGAUGUGCU